UCCGGGUUGGACCCGGCGGUCCCGCCAGACAUGAUAACUGGCAGCGAGGGUUGCGCUCGUUGCGGGACUUAACCCAACACCUCACGACACGAGCUGACGACAACCAUGCACCACCUGUGCACGACCCUUGCGGACCCCCCAUCUCUGGAGGAUUCCCGUGCAUGUCAAGCCUAGGUAAGGUUCUUCGCGUUGCAUCGAAUUAAGCAACAUGCUCCGCCGCUUGUGCGGGCCCCCGUCAAUUCCUUUGAGUUUUAGCCUUGCGGCCGUACUCCACAGGCGGGGCACUUAAUGCGUUAGCUGCGGCACGGAGAACGUGGAAUGUUCCCCACACCUAGUGCCCACCGUUUACGGCGUGGACUAC
rnacentral:misc_RNA from 1 species